AUGAGAGAUAGAGGUCGCGUAUCACAUCAGUAUCCGGUUGGAUGUGCCAGUCACAGUUGAAUGCCGGCGAAAGGGUGAGACGCCGAAGGAAACCGGGUGCUGGAGUCGGUUUUCUGGGCAUGAAAUGAACAAUUUCAUGACUGUCAUCACACGAUGGAGCGCUAUCCGAAGA
rnacentral:ncRNA from 2 species